rnacentral:rRNA from 1 species
CCUACGGGAGGCAGCAGUGAGGAAUAUUGGUCAAUGGACGAGAGUCUGAACCAGCCAAGUAGCGUGAAGGAUGACUGCCCUAUGGGUUGUAAACUUCUUUUAUAUGGGAAUAAAACGUUCCACGUGUGGGAUUUUGUAUGUACCAUAUGAAUAAGGAUCGGCUAACUCCGUGCCAGCAGCCGCGGUAAUACGGAGGAUCCGAGCGUUAUCCGGAUUUAUUGGGUUUAAAGGGAGCGUAGGUGGAUUGUUAAGUCAGUUGUGAAAGUUUGCGGCUCAACCGUAAAAUUGCAGUUGAAACUGGCAGUCUUGAGUACAGUAGAGGUGGGCGGAAUUCGUGGUGUAGCGGUGAAAUGCUUAGAUAUCACGAAGAACUCCGAUUGCGAAGGCAGUUCACUGGACUGCAACUGUCACUGAGGCUCGAAAGUGUGGGUAUCAAACAGGAUUAGAUACCCCGGUAGUC